rnacentral:rRNA from 1 species
UGUUCAAAGAUUAAGCCAUGCAUGUCCAAGUAUAAGCAAUCUAUACGGUGAAACUGCGAAUGGCUCAUUAAAUCAGUUAUCGUUUAUUUGAUAGUACCUUACUACAUGGAUAACCGUGGUAAUUCUAGAGCUAAUACAUGCUAAAAACCCCGACUUCGGAAGGGGUGUAUUUAUUAGAUAAAAAACCAGCGCCCUUCGGGGCUCCUUGGUGAUUCAURAUAACUCAACGAAUCGCAUGGCCUUGCGCCGGCGAUGGUUCAUUCAAAUUUCUGCCCUAUCAACUUUCGAUGGUAGGAUAGUGGCCUACCAUGGUAUCAACGGGUAACGGGGAAUUAGGGUUCUAUUCCGGAGAGGGAGCCUGAGAAACGGCUACCACAUCCAAGGAAGGCAGCAGGCGCGCAAAUUACCCAAUCCCGACACGGGGAGGUAGUGACAAUAAAUACUGAUACAGGGCUCUUUUGGGUCUUGUAAUUGGAAUGAGUACAAUUUAAAUCCCUUAACGAGGAACAAUUGGAGGGCAAGUCUGGUGCCAGCAGCCGCGGUAAUUCCAGCUCCAAUAGCGUAUAUUAAAGUUGUUGCAGUUAAAAAGCUCGUAGUUGAACCUUGGGCCUGGCUGGCCGGUCCGCCUCACCGCGUGUACUGGUCCGGCCGGGCCUUUCCUUCUGGGGAGCCGCAUGCCCUUCACUGGGCGUGUCGGGGAACCAGGACUUUUACUUUGAAAAAAUUAGAGUGUUCAAAGCAGGCCUUUGCUCGAAUACAUU